UACAGAGGGUGCUAGCGUUAUUCGGAAUUACUGGGCGUAAAGCGCGCGCAGGCGGCCUACCAAGUACAACGUGAAAUCUCCCUGCUCAACGGGGAGGGAGCGUAGUAAACUGGUAAGCUAGAGGACGGUAGAGGGGGGUAGAAUUGCUGGUGUAGCGGUGAAAUGCGCAGAUAUCAGGAAGAACACCAAUGGCGAAGGCAGCUCUCUGGGACGGUACUGACGCUGAGACGCGAAAGCGUGGGGAGCGAACAGG
rnacentral:rRNA from 1 species